rnacentral:rRNA from 1 species
GAUGAACGCUAGCGGCAGGCUUAAUACAUGCAAGUCGUACGGGAUCCGAGGUAGCAAUACUUUGGUGAGAGUGGCGCACGGGUGCGUAACACGUAUGCAACCUACCUAUAACCGGGACACAACCUCGAGAAAUUGAGGCUAAUAUCCCAUAACACUGCGAGAUGGCAUCAUUUUGCAGUUAAAACUCCGGUGGUUAUAGAUGGGCAUGCGCGACAUUAGCUAGUUGGUGAGGUAACGGCCCACCAAGGCUACGAUGUCUAGGGGUUCUGAGAGGAUUAUCCCCCACACUGGUACUGAGACACGGACCAGACUCCUACGGGAGGCAGCAGUAAGGAAUAUUGGUCAAUGGGCGCAAGCCUGAACCAGCCAUGCCGCGUGAAGGAUGACGGCCCUACGGGUUGUAAACUUCUUUUGUACGGAACGAAAAGACUCUUUCUAAUAAAGAGGGUCCAUGACGGUACCGUAAGAAUAAGCACCGGCUAACUACGUG